rnacentral:rRNA from 1 species
AUUGAACGCUGGCGGCAGGCCUAACACAUGCAAGUCGAACGGUAACAGGAAGAAGCUUGCUUCUUUGCUGACGAGUGGCGGACGGGUGAGUAAUGUCUGGGAAACUGCCUGAUGGAGGGGGAUAACUACUGGAAACGGUAGCUAAUACCGCAUAACGUCGCAAGACCAAAGAGGGGGACCUUCGGGCCUCUUGCCAUCGGAUGUGCCCAGAUGGGAUUAGCUAGUAGGUGGGGUAACGGCUCACCUAGGCGACGAUCCCUAGCUGGUCUGAGAGGAUGACCAGCCACACUGGAACUGAGACACGGUCCAGACUCCUACGGGAGGCAGCAGUGGGGAAUAUUGCACAAUGGGCGCAAGCCUGAUGCAGCCAUGCCGCGUGUAUGAAGAAGGCCUUCGGGUUGUAAAGUACUUUCAGCGGGGAGGAAGGGAGUAAAGUUAAUACCUUUGCUCAUUGACGUUACCCGCAGAAGAAGCACCGGCUAACUCCGUGCCAGCAGCCGCGGUAAUACGGAGGGUGCAAGCGUUAAUCGGAAUUACUGGGCGUAAAGCGCACGCAGGCGGUUUGUUAAGUCAGAUGUGAAAUCCCCGGGCUCAACCUGGGAACUGCAUCUGAUACUGGCAAGCUUGAGUCUCGUAGAGGGGGGUAGAAUUCCAGGUGUAGCGGUGAAAUGCGUAGAGAUCUGGAGGAAUACCGGUGGCGAACGCGGCCCUCUGGACGAAGACUGACGCUC